CGCCUCUUGAAUCCUAUAAGAGGUCCAGCCUGCCCAGUGACUUUGUUCAACGGCCGCGGUAUCCUAACCGUGCGAAGGUAGCGUAAUCACUUGUUCUUUAAAUGGGGACUCGUAUGAAUGGCAUCACGAAGGUUAUACUGUCUCCUUUUUCUAAUCAGUGAAACUGAUCUUCCCGUGAAAAAGCGGGAAUACUAAUAUAAGACGAGAAGACCCUAUGGAGCUUAAAAUAACCUAACAUUUGCUUAAACAAUAAAAAAUUUCAGAACCUUAACUUCUACAAGCAGUAUGAUUUUAAAUUUUUGGUUGGGGUGACCGCGGAGAACAACAUAACCUCCAUGUUGAAAGAACUUAUUCUUAGCUAAGAUUUACUAAUCAAAGCAUCAACACAUUGACAUUCCUUGAUCCAAUAUAAUUGAUCAACGAACCAAGUUACCCUAGGGAUAACAGCGCAAUCUACUUCAAGAGCUCCUAUCGACAAGUAGGUUUACGACCUCGAUGUUGGAUCAGGGUAUCCCAGUGGUGUAGCCGCUACUAAAGGUUCGUUUGUUCAACGAUUAAAACCCUACGUGAUCUGAGU
rnacentral:rRNA from 1 species